AGGCCGUAAGAGCUUUUCAGGGAUGCAAUGGGAGAUUUCUUCCCAAAGUAAACAGGGUGUUCCCUCAGGAUUGCAGCAGAAAACAGGGGGGGAGGGGUUCAGAAUCUCUUUCUAUGCCUGCUUUGAUCAUUCCUAGAAUGAAUAGUUGUCCUUUCAUUCACUUCUGCCAUAGUUACAGCCACCUUGAGAUCAUUUAACAAGAGAAAGAAUCAAGUCCAGCUUGACCCUGAACAGAAAUAGGCUUUCUGGACCAAAGACCCUGACAGGCAGCAGUGAGGUUUCCGUGAGUGGUACCGACAUUUGUAUACUGAGCAGUGGAAGUAAGAAUGCGCACUGGGUGCAUAACAUUUCAAAUGAAUUUGGAGUGGAAAGAAGAGUGGCAGCAAAAAAAGGAGGAAGACUUGAGCAGCCGUGCCAUGUUCAUCUAGCACAAAUAGGGCUGGCUGAAGAAGCCAGGCAAGGCUGCCAGCAGCCAUGUUUGCCACCUUCUCUCUGUGUGUGAAGCCAA